ACUCAAACUACGACACGCGAAUUGGAUGAGAUUUGACAAUGAGUUGUGACGCCAUGUUUGUAGAUACGAAUUUUUGAAAAAAUAUAUACUACCUUCAUGUUCAGGAUUGAAGAUGGAGGCAGUAUGUUCCUACAAAAUGUUAAUAUAUGUCCAUGGAUCUUAAGGGUAUCUAUUUUACAGUAUUAUAACAUCUAAGAGGUCAUAUAUGGGGCUUUUGUUGUACUUGGAAGAAAAUUAUAUUUUACGCAGAGAUUGAGGUUAUGUGAUCCUACUUGGAAGAAAAUUAUAUUUUACGCAGAGAUUGAGGUUAUGUGAUCCUACUUGGAAGAAAAUUAUAUUUUACGCAGAGAUUGAGGUUAUGUGAGAUGAGGGUGCUAAUGAAAAUACGUGGACACAGAAGGGAUGAAGUGACAAAACUGAAUAAUGGGGAUGUUCAUAAUUUGUACUCAUCACCAAAUAUUAUUAGAAUGAUGACGAUGGUUGGGGCAUGUAGCAUGCACGGGAGAGAUGUAAAAAAAAUACAAAAUUUUGGUUGCAAAAGUUGAAGGCAAGAUACAAUUUGGAAGGUCUCAGUAUAGAUUAAUAAUGAUAUUAAAAUGGAUCUUAAUUAAUGUCGUGAGAGUUACUGUAAAAUUUUGGUUCCAUAAAAAGCAGUGGAAUUAGCUUCUUAAGACGGACUAUGGAGUUAGUUGCAUUUUUUUAUUUUAGAUUUUAUUUGGGGCACCGCGUAUUUUAGAAUAUCAUGAGUGCUAAGCUGGUAUCGGCAGACACAGUUUGUAAUAUUGCUCUAGAAAUUGCUUUUUGAAGGUGGCUGUCCUCGGGUACCUCCUGCAUUCAACCCAUAAGACAGAAUUUUUCAUACUCUUUGCCAUGAGAACGUGCAAAAUUACUCUCCGUUUUCAGCACAUGCAGUCUGGAUGAUGACUCACUCGUAAAUUGCAGAGACGUAAGGCGAAUCUAAGUCUUCUUGAGCGUAAACUGGGGUCCCCAUUGCAGUUUCUGUAACACAGUCACACGUUCUGUAGUUCAGUGGGGCUCAGUCCUUCAGAAGCGUAAAGUAGGACCACGCAGGAGAACAGGGAAGGCAAGGGUUCAUUUUCCCACCGCCUUCAAAAUGUUAAAGGAAAAGAAUAGAUUUAAAUGUCGACGUAAAAGUUUGUUUUCGUGUUUCACCUUCCGAAAACAACUGACUCACUCACAUGAAAUUAUGUACUUCAGUCUUCAGCGAAUGCUGACUUAAGUAUUUCAUUUCUCAACUUGCAAAAAAAAUGUUUAAACUAAUGAAAUAUGCGUUACUUGGGUAACAUUCACAACAUUUUAAUGAUCAUUUAGUGGUGAAUACGUAUUUAUUCUAAAGGAUCUUUGUGGCCUAUUUUAAGGUAUGGUCUCAGCAAUCAGCGAAAUGACUGAGGAAAACCGUGAAACACACACUUGGCAGCCUGAAUUGAAAGAAGGUAUCUGUAAUAAACUUUUAUACUGAUAACAUUCUCUGCUUUAUAAAUUAGAGAUUUUUUAACCUUGAAUAACGUCUAUAAAAUCAGACGGAAACUGUAAGACGUAACUUCUUCAAACGCCAAUAACUCGAGACGUAUGUAAGAUAGAGAAUAUCAACCUAUAUGUAAAUUAAAGAGUAAAUAAAGCUUUUUCUACAUGAUGUUUA